rnacentral:lncRNA from 1 species
GGCCGGUGUUGACUUGCUGUGCUCAGGAAUAGAGAAGUAUACAAAAGGCUGCAGAUUUCCUGGCUAUGUGGGAAAGCCAUAAUCAGUGCUCCUGAGGCAGGGCAGCAUCUGCUGAGGGCACACAAAAUGCAGGCAUCCUGGUGCAGGGAGGGACCUCAGCUUGUUCCCUUUGAGAUGCUAACCUUGUUCCCCAUCUUGCUCCCCCCAUCUACUGCAGCUGCUCUUCCUAGAAAAGUACACUACCCCUUCCCCUGCACUUCUUGCUGAAUAACAAAAGCAGGUCCACCGUGGAGUUUGUAGAGUCUGUCCACUAGAGUCAGGCUUAUCCUGGUCCCCCUUGUACCUUGAAUAUUGUCUCUGUCUCUUUCUUUUAUUCCCUGUCAUCCUUCCUACAGGUAUUCGAGGGUCUGAUCAGCCCCGGACAAUGUGACAUUACACAGCUCUAAUAAGGGAUAAAUCUGCUGUUGGUCUCAACAACAUGGGUGAAUCUCAGCCGCACUGUGCUGAGGGACAGCUGCUGACUGAGAGCUCGUAUAUCGCCUGAGUGCAUUCAUACAGCAUUCUGGAAAAGGCCAGGCUGGUGGGAUGGGAGGCAAUAGUGGCUACGAGGAGCUGAGUGCUGUGGGGAUGCAGAGGAUGGAGGGAACCUCCUGAAAGGAUUCCGCAGACUGUGAUGUAAGUUCCGAGACAUGCAUCUCCGGAGCUCACUGAACUCUACUCUUUUCCUGGAUGUAAAUUAUUCCUCAAUCAAUCCGCUUUCUGAAUACAACACUCUCUAACCCUCCUCAGGACCCUGUCCAGAUCCCAGCAUCUCCUUAUGUUGCCCAGCAGCAAGGGCUCAACUGGGAAAAUCUGAGAGCCCACGAGUCCUGGACAGGACCUGAGCCCCCGAGGGGCUGUGGACCAUCGGAGAAGAGACUGUCCUAAGACCCUCCGGGCACCAGCUCGUCCUGCCCCCUCUUCCCCAACUCGAAUGCUCCAGGGCUCAGCCAGGGCCAGGCACCCUCAAGAAUCCUGGAUUUGCAGCAUGGUCGGUCUGGAGAAGAACCCACCCUCAGCUGGUCCCAGGCUGUCAUAGAGCACAGCCUCGAGCUUCUGCCACCCACCGCCAUGUCGAAGACAUCCCUGCUUGGACAGGCCCACAGCAGCCCGCUGGACUUGGACAGCCGGCCCAGGACCCCUGUGGCAAGUGGUUUCUUGCUGGUGAAGCCAGCUCAUUGUCCUGAGUAGAUCCUCUCUUUCAGUGCCACCUGCUCUUCAGGACCCAAGAAGGUUGAUCUUGUGGCUCUGCAGGGUACCCUCAUGUCCCCUAGAACCCAGAUAGAACAGCCACCCCUAACAUGGGCUGCUGGAUUCCAGGAGCAAUUUCCCAUCUUAGGCUGAAGGCUCUUUUUUCUUUCUUCCAUUUUAGACUCUCUGUCUUCUCUCUCUCUCUCUCUCUCUCUCUCUCUCUCUCUCUCUCUCUCUCUCUCUCCCCCCUUUCCCCCUCCUCCAGGAAACAUAAGGACAUAAAGUCACCUUGUAAUUCCAUGUCCUACUUUUUCUGUCCCCCAAAUGGAACUUUUUCUCUAGGACUUUACUGCCAGCAAGACUGUUAUAUAGUGAUCAGAUUGGGUAGUACCCAUGAGCUGUGAUGACACUGUGACAAUACUCAGUGUUGAUAAGCAUACUGGGAAAUGCCUGCUUUUGUGGAAGAAUCAAAUUAGUACCUCUCUGAAUGACAGUGUUUUAUGUCAAAUCCUAAAAUAUCAUUUGUAUAAAGCAUACAGCUACUUAUUUGGCAUGUCCUAUCUUGGAAAGUGCACACACGUUACACAUACAUGUACAUAGGUAACCAAAAGCAGCAGCUACCUGUGGGGAAGGAAAUUGGGAGGCUGAGAGACAGAAGAGAGAGAUUUCUAUUCAUUACACAUUAUUAUUCAUUAUUGUGCUUUGCUUUUAACUUUUGAAUUUCUUAUUGUUAUUCCCUAAUUUUGUUCUUCAGUAUAAUUAAAUAAAAAUAAAUGUAUCUUUUUAUCAAUUAUGCCAUUUCUAGGAAUUUUUCUAAGGUUUCAGUGCCUUGGCCUGAGAGGAAAGCAGAUCUCUAGGGGCUCCUCGAGGUCCGCUUCACCUCCCCAAAUGACG